rnacentral:rRNA from 1 species
AUUGAACGCUGGCGGCAUGCUUUACACAUGCAAGUCGAACGGAAACAGGCCGCAAGGUGCUGACGAGUGGCGAACGGGUGAGUAAUGCAUCGGAACGUGCCCAGUCGUGGGGGAUAACGCAGCGAAAGCUGCGCUAAUACCGCAUACGAUCUAUGGAUGAAAGCGGGGGACCGUAAGGCCUCGCGCGAUUGGAGCGGCCGAUGUCAGAUUAGGUAGUUGGUGGGGUAAAGGCUCACCAAGCCAACGAUCUGUAGCUGGUCUGAGAGGACGACCAGCCACACUGGGACUGGGACACGGCCCAGACUCCUACGGGAGGCAGCAGUGGGGAAUUUUGGACAAUGGGCGCAAGCCUGAUCCAGCAAUGCCGCGUGCAGGAAGAAGGCCUUCGGGUUGUAAACUGCUUUUGUACGGAACGAAAAGGCUCUGGAUAAUACCUGGGGCUCAUGACGGUACCGUAAGAAUAAGCACCGGCUAACUACGUGCCAGCAGCCGCGGUAAAAC